CUACGCAUUUCACUGCUACACGCGGAAUUCCAUCCCCCUCUACCGUACUCUAGCGAUGCAGUCACAGAUGCAAUUCCCAGGUUGAGCCCGGGGAUUUCACAACUGUCUUACAUCACCGCCUGCGCACGCUUUACGCCCAGUAAUUCCGAUUAACGCUCGCACCCUACGUAUUACCGCGGCUGCUGGCACGUAGUUAGCCGGUGCUUAUUCUUACGGUACCGUCAUGGGCCCGCCGUAUUAGGGCAGACCUUUUCGUUCCGUACAAAAGCAGUUUACAACCCGAAGGCCUUCUUCCUGCACGCGGCAUUGCUGGAUCAGGCUUUCGCCCAUUGUCCAAAAUUCCCCACUGCUGCCUCCCGUAGGAGUCUGGGCCGUGUCUCAGUCCCAGUGUGGCUGGUCGUUCUCUCAAACCAGCUACAGAUCGUCGGCUUGGUGAGCUUUUACCUCACCAACAACCUAAUCUGAUAUCAGCCGCUCCAAUCGCGCGAGGCCCGAAGGUCCCCCGCUUUCAUCCCUAGAUCGUAUGCGGUAUUAGCGUAAAUUUCCCUACGUUAUCCCCCACGACAAGGUAGAUUCCGAUGUAUUCCUCACCCGUCCGCCACUCGCCGGCAUCGUAUUGCUACGACCCGCUGCCGUUCGACUUGCAUGUGUUAGGCCUGCCGCC
rnacentral:rRNA from 1 species